GUGGGUAUGGUCCAGUUGGUUAAGACACCUGGUUGUGGCCCAGGAGGUCGUGAGUUCGAAUCUCACUACUCACCCCA
rnacentral:tRNA from 2 species